rnacentral:snoRNA from 1 species
CACGUCUAUAUGAUGAAGCAUUUCACGGAUGUUAAAGCCUACGGGCACACACCGAGAGCGCAUAAACCCAUGUGGAUUCCUCCGUUGCCUUCCUUCUGACAUCAACAC